UACGAAGGUGGCAAGCGUUGUUCGGAUUCACUGGGCGUACAGGGUGUGUAGGCGGUUUGGUAAGCCUUCUGUUAAAGCUUCGGGCCCAACCCGGAAAGCGCAGAGGGUACUGCCAGGCUAGAGGACGGGAGAAGAGCGCGGAAUUCCCGGUGUAGCGGUGAAAUGCGUAGAGAUCGGGAGGAAGGCCGGUGGCGAAGGCGGCGCUCUGGAACGUUACUGACGCUGAGACACGAAAGCGUGGGGAGCAAACAGG
rnacentral:rRNA from 1 species